AACGCACCUUGCGCUCCUUGGUAUUCCGAGGAGCAUGCCUGUUUGAGUGUCAUGGUAUUCUCAACCCCUCUGUGAUUGUGUUUGCAGUUGCAGGGCUGGUGUUGGAUGUGGAGGUUUAUUAAAUGCCGGAGCUGUCUUGCUCAGCUUUCUCUGGCUCCUCUGAAACACAUUAGCUUGAAUGGUUUUCGCCCAAGCAUGAUCCAGCGUGAUAAUUGUCUACGCUGCCUCGUCGUGGUGAUCGCUUCAUUCGUUCAGGCUUCAAAUCGUCUCCUCUCAGAGACAACAUUUCAAUUCUGAACAUCUGACCUCAAAUCAGGUAGGACUACCCGCUGAACUUAA
rnacentral:misc_RNA from 1 species